rnacentral:rRNA from 1 species
AUGCAGCGAAACGGGGUGAUGGAAUGCACAGCGUGCCGCUCCCGGCUGGUGGCGCCGAGCCCGCGGAGCGUGUCCAGGGCGUACGACAAGCACCACAACAAGAUAACGUCCAAGUUCCGCGCGCUCAAAUUCCUCCUCGUCGUCGGCGACUGCAUGCUCGUCGGCCUCCAGCCCAUCCUAGUGUUCAUGUCAAAAGUAGAUGGGAAGUUCCAGUUCAGCCCCAUCAGUGUUAACUUUUUGACAGAGGUUGCAAAAGUUAUCUUUGCUAUCGUGAUGCUAGUUAUUCAGUCUCGAAAGCAAAAGGCUGGGGAAAAACCACUUCUGGCACGUUCAACCCUUAUACAGGCAGCCCGCAAUAAUGUACUCCUAGCUGUCCCUGCACUUCUAUAUGCCAUCAACAAUUACCUUAAAUUUAUCAUGCAGUUGUAUUUCAAUCCUUCAACUGUGAAAAUGCUAAGCAACCUAAAGGUACUGGUCAUAGCUGUUCUUCUGAAAUUUAUAAUGAGAAGGAGGUUCUCUGUUAUUCAGUGGGAAGCUCUUGCUCUAUUACUUAUUGGGAUCAGCAUCAAUCAACUUCGAACUGCACCUGCGGGCGAUACGGCAUUCGGUCUUCCUAUCACUGCUAUCGCAUACAUCUAUACACUGAUUUUUGUAACUGUUCCAUCACUAGCUUCUGUCUACAACGAGUAUGCAAUGAAAAGUCAAGAUACUAGUAUUUAUCUUCAGAAUUUAUUUCUGUAUGGAUAUGGUGCAAUAUUCAACUUCCUCGGCAUCCUUGGGACGGCCUUAUUCCAAGGGCCCGAGAAUUUUAAUAUCCUUCAAGGGCAUUCAAGGGCUACGAUGUUUCUCAUAUGUAACAAUGCUGCGCAAGGCAUUCUUUCUUCAUUCUUCUUCAAGUAUGCAGAUACAAUUUUGAAGAAGUAUUCCUCAACUGUUGCCACAAUUUUUACUGGUCUAGCUUCUGCUGCUUUUCUGGGACAUACCUUGACUAUUAACUUUCUCCUGGGCAUAUCAGUGGUGUUUAUUUCAAUGCAUCAGUUCUUCUCACCUAUAGCUAAAGUCAAAGACGACAAACCAGGUGAAUUAUUGGAGUUGCAAGAUACACAGAAUCAUCGGUCAUCUGAUUCUUCUUUUGUAAAUAUGACUGCUGGUGCUGCUGAGGACGCUAGCCAUCAGCUUGGAACUGAUGAGAGGCAACAACUGUUGCCAAUUUGA